rnacentral:rRNA from 1 species
AUAUGCCAUUGAGUGGGGGACAACAGUUGGAAACGACUGCUAAUACCGCAUAACGUCUACGGACCAAAGGGGGGGAUCUUCGGACCUCUCGCUCAUUGAUUAGCCCAAGUGAGAUUAGCUAGUUGGUAAGGUAAUGGCUUACCAAGGCGACGAUCUCUAGCUGGUUUGAGAGGAUGAUCAGCCACACUGGGACUGAGACACGGCCCAGACUCCUACGGGAGGCAGCAGUGGGGAAUAUUGCACAAUGGGCGAAAGCCUGAUGCAGCCAUGCCGCGUGUGCGAAGAAGGCCUUCGGGUUGUAAAGCACUUUCAGUAAGGAGGAAAGGGAUGUAGUUAAUAGCUGCAUUCUGUGACGUUACUUACAGAAGAAGCACCGGCUAACUUCGUGCCAGCAGCCGCGGUAAUACGAGGGGUGCAAGCGUUAAUCGGAAUUACUGGGCGUAAAGCGUUCGUAGGCGGUUAUUUAAGCAAGAUGUGAAAGCCCAGGGCUCAACCUCGGAACUGCAUUUUGAACUGGAUGACUAGAGUACUGUAGAGGGUGGUGGAAUUUCCAGUGUAGCGGUGAAAUGCGUAGAGAUUGGAAGGAACAUCAGUGGCGAAGGCGGCCACCUGGACAGAUACUGACGCUGAGGAACGAAAGCGUGGGGAGCGAACAG